rfam:Schistosoma haematobium scaffold32_13, whole genome shotgun sequence.
AUCCAGAUGACGAGUUCAAAAUAGAACGAAACGAAUGUCCUGGCU